CAAAAUAUCAAAAGUUAUAUUUUAUAACUUAAAAUAUUUUCUAAUACUUGAAAUCAUUUUUAUAUGAUUUUAAAAACAUUAAUACUAUUUUUCCUUAAUUAAUUUUAGUGCGUAGCUUAAGAAAAUAGCUACCUCGUGCUUAACUCCAGUAAUGCCCAUCUCUUGGCAUAAACUUAUAUAUGUUAACGUGAUACUCCAUUUUAAAUUUUGUGGCAAUCAGAGUUGUAGAACUCCGUUUAUAGCGAUUUCCGUCGGAAAAUCACAAAAAUUGUAAUGGUCAUAACUUGGUCGUUUUAACUCGGAAUUAGCUCAUUUUUGGACACGAGCUACUUAAUACCAUAUAUUUUCAUUUCCCAAAAGCCUGUAAUUUUUCUCAUUAACUAAAUGUCCAAAACAGCCCUCGGAAAAUCUUGGCCAGAAACUUUUUGCACUUUGGCAGUUUUGGAGUCCUUCACCAAAACUUAAAUAAAACGAAAUCUGUAACUCCGAUUAAUGAUCCGUCAAUUUUUUUGGAUUCGUAUCUUUCGGAACUAUAGUUUUCAUAUAUCACAAUCCAUAUUUGGACAUGUUAAGCUCCCGGAAUUUAGCCCGGAAGUGGCUGUUACAAACUGUCCUUCUAACAGUUUUUCUUAACUUUGUGUAGUUUGGUAAAAAUUCCAUAACUUUCUCCUCCGAUGUCGGAUUUAGUCCGUUUCGGAGUCUAUGGAAAGCUUAUUGAGUGUACUAUAACAUAUCACAGGUCCAGAAUUUUUAGAGCACCUUAACAAAUCCGAAAUUUUCUGUUUAGAGCAGCAGUUCACUAAUUCAUUUAAAACAAAAAAACUGUUUUGGUUCAUCUUCUUUGUUAAAGCUUAUCAACCCUAAAAAUGGCAAGAUCUAACCAUAAAAUAUCAUAUAUCAUGUAGAUCUUCCCUCAUAUGGAUCAUAAGUUCAACACUUGGUCUAAAACAACCAUCACAAAACACAUAAACUAACUAGAGUUUUGAGUUUAUGAAAUUUUAUACCUUUGAUUCCAACCAAAAUCAACACCCAAUAUUGUUAGAUCUAAACAUGAAACACUUAUAUAUACAUAGAUCUAAAGUUUUAAACCUCAAGAUCACAACUUCAAGUUGACAAAAAUCAAAUCAAACUACCUAAGGAAUUAGCAUACACAAGUAGAAAUUUUUGUUAUACCUUAGCUUGAUUUCCUUUCUCCUCCUUCUUUCUUCCUUCCAUGGAUGGAUCUUGGUUUCAUGAGAGCCAAAAUCUCCCCUCCCUCUUCUCCAUGUGGCUGCUGAACUCUCCCCUUCUCUCUCCCUUUUUGCUCUCUUAAGUUCCUUGUAACUUGGAAGAAUAAAAGAGGAACCUCAAGAUUUUUUUAUUUUUUUUCCAAACCCACUCUCUUUCUCUCCUUAUGUCAUCCGGCCAUGCCUUCAUUCUCUACAUUCCCCACUCCUUCUCCCUCCUACUAAUCACUUAAAGUCUUGCUUGCAUGGAUGAAAAUAUUAAUUACCCUAAAAAGGCUAG
rnacentral:lncRNA from 1 species